AAUAAGUUUCGAAGUCUUGAUAUUUUUCUUUAAAAGUAGAGAGAAAAAAGGAGAGAAAAUCUCACAUGGUCGGUCGCAAGUUUUAACGUUUUUAACCUUAUGAUUUCUCGCUAAGAACGACGACGAUGACGUGGCCACGGUUAAAAAGAAGAGCUUUGCCUUGAACCCUCACACCACCUCCCUUCCUUUCCUUCCCCAAAAUUCAUCAACCAGAAGACUGCUUCCCUACCUUCUUGUUCUCUCGCUGAAAAAUUUGUUCUUGACCGUUCAUGUCAACCAAAACCUUUUUCCUUCAACACCGUAGAAUUCGUGGGCCUUUCUUAGCCAUCAACCCCAUUUAGAUUUUUUCCCGUUUUGUAAUUAAUUACACACUCCCUUUCAUCACUAUGGGAAAACGGAAACGAAUCUCUGAUCAGACUGAGACCGAUCAUCAACCUCUCCUGUGUUCCUCUUCUACGGCGUAAUGAUAGAGGAAAGUGAAGAAAUGAAAUACUCUUUUGAGCUACUUGAAACGGUUCCAUUGAUGGGCACCUGAGAAAACGUGAUACGUCUACUUAUUUGGGCCGAUCUUAAUUAUUUCAGGUUAUGUGUAAAAAUAGUGACGUUAGGGUUCAGAAUUGGAAAUUUCGAGUGAUGUUUCAUCAUUUACAUGAGAUAAAUAUUUCCAUGAAAUUGUGAACCUGACAGCAAUGUAUUGGCUGCAUUAUCGCAUCAGACGAAAUCAUUUAACAGUCCUCUUCCCGUUUUAGUAACUUUCUAGAUUUUUUUAUUUGUUUCUAGUUUGUAAAUAGAAAUAUAAUUAUUUAUUGUUGUUCUUUUGAUUGACAUUGCAGAAGUCAUUCCAUGCUCCUCUGAGAUGGAACUAUUGUCAGAUGAGAAAUCUUCACAUUCAGGCGAUCCUGGUAUGCAUCCUCUGGCACCUGUUUUGGAUAUGACAGAUGAUCCUAUGAAGUUAUUAAAUGCCCAUCCAACUACAUCCCAUCACUAUCAGAGUCUCGGCCGUUCUAUGUUUUUGAAGCGCUCACGACAUUACUAUGGUCAUCAGUACUCUCGACGUAACUCUGCAAAUCAUGCCAAUGCAUCGUCUUCUUGUGGAAAGAACACUUCUUCGUAUGAUGAGAAGCUUUCUUUUAAGUUGGCUUCUCAAUCCAGUCAGAAUCCAAACGUCACGCAGAAUUCAGAGACAAGAUAUUUUCCCGGCCAGAGAGAAUCCGGUCGAGUUCCUUAGCUGCAGACGCAGUAUCCUCUGAUGCAGUCAAGAUGGUAUGUGGGGUUUGUCAGAAGCCAUUAAAACGAAAAAAUUUCUUGCACGGGAAUCCUUUAUCUUCUUCCUACGACCAUUCUUCAAUUGUGGCAGUCCUGGUUUGUGGCCAUGCUUAUCAUGCAGAGUGCUUGGAUCAGAAAACCAGCUUUGAAGAAAGACGUGACCCUCCAUGCCCUGUGUGUGGGUCUACUUUUGCAGGAUGAUGACUUCAAAACUUGUUACUGAUCAUGAACAAGGUGAAAGAGUAGAG